AGUGUGAGAGCAGCAGUCAGUGGGACUCAGUCUGUACUUUAACUCAGUGCUCUUCCUUCUCUCCUGCAGUCAUGAAGCUCCUACCAGCCCUGCUGCUGCUCACAGCAUUCAAUCUCUCAGGUGUUCAGGGUGAGAUUGUCCUGACAGAGUCUGAAGCAGUGGUAAAGAGACCAGGAGAAUCUCACACACUGACCUGUACAGCCUCAGGGUUCACAUUCAGCAGCUUCUGGAUGUACUGGAUCAGACAGGCUCCUGGGAAGGGCCUGGAGUGGUUGGGAAGUCAGUAUAACAGCUCCAAUGUUCGCUAUGCCCAGUCUAUUCAGGGAAGAUUCACCAUCUCCAGAGACAACAGCAAGAACCAGCUGUAUUUACAGAUGAACAGGCUGGCAGCUGAAGACACUGCUGUGUAUUACUGUAGCAUCAACCCUCUUUAA